UGCAGCUGAACCUGCUGGUGAAGGUGGUGCAGCUUCCCAAGCCACGUCCAGGUCUGAGCCCCUGGGAGAUGCUGAGGGGAAUUACCCAGCUACAGGUCACAAGAAACCCCAUGAGCCAUCCAUAGUCAAGAUGCCAGUACUGAAGGAAAUGCAGCAGGCAGGACAAGCGAUGGACCAAAAAGCUGUACUGAAGGUGGCAUUUCCCGGGCUAAGUGGCGGCUCAUUGGAAGGCCCUGCAGGAAGGAAGGCAAUGCCAGACACGGGCACAGGCACAGCAG